UUGUGCUCAAAUUUUUUUUUUUCCGGUUAUAAAUCGUGGUUAGAUUGAUAAAAAGUGAUACAUGGAAUCCUACUCAGCGUUUCUUAUUAUUUAGAGCUUUCCCAUUAUCGUAUUCAGAGUUUUAACUUUUUUUAAAAAUAAAGAUGGGUAGGUUAGUUGGGGAAACAAUGUGAAGCACACCAAAUUAACAACUCAGCAAUAUCAAAUCCUGAUGUGAUAGUUGCUAAGGGCUUUGCCUUUUUCUGAUGUUUCUAUGACCAGAUUUUCAUAAACUCAAUUUUAUGAUUCAUGUACGAUUGACUAAAGAUUUCAAUGCUGGCUUACUUUCUAAUAUUUUGGUGACUUUGUUUGCAAGGUUCAUCUCUGGUUUCUUUCUUGGUACUGUUCCUUGGUAUAUUGGAGCUUUUCUUCUUCUGUGUGUGCGGAUUGAUUACAGAGAAAAGCCUGGACUUAUAGCAUGCACAUUGGAUGGCUCUCUCUCUCUCUCUCUCUCUCUCUCUCUCUCUCUCUCUCUCUCUCUCUCUCUCUCUCUCUUAUAGCAUGCAAUUGUACGGUGGAUGAUAUUCCCUUCGUCAUUAAUUCUUGGGUACCAUGUGUUUUCGUCAGAGUCAUGUUGGCAAAUAUUGUUGGGGUAAAAUCACACAAAUUGCUCAGUUGACUGGGUUUAGGACAUAAAGACUUUUGACACAUAUUGAAAGUUCUUUUAAAACUUGUGGUCUUAAACAUGUUAUGACAUUUCUACGGUUAUAAGAACAUGUCAUUAUUGGUAAAUUGGAAAUUUGAAGUUAAGUUUUCCAAAAUAUCCAAUAUCAUCCUUUUUGGAAGACUAAAAAAGAAAAAGUGUUGUAUAAAUUGGAACAGAGGUGUAACCAUUUUUUUAUAUGAAGAAUGGAACAGAGGGAGUAAUAAAAUUUGGUUUUGGCAGCUAUACAUUUGGAAAAAGAAUAAACUCUCUUGUACGUCCAGUAUAUGUGGACUUGAUAUUGGAUAACUAUAUUUAUUACACCAUGUAAGUGCUUACCAUGAUUUUACCUCAUUUGACUUGGAUAUCCUUUUCUAUUGCUAUUUACCUUAUUCUAGAGAGGGCAUAAAUGUAUAUUAUAGCUUGGAUUUCUACGAGCGUAUAUUAGAGGAACAUUAGAAGGAUUGAGCAAUUAGACUAGGUUGAGAAGUGGACUAAAUUUGGGUAGCCAAUUGUAAAACCACUUUUAAACCCCGCUUUUUUUGGCCCAAUUGCUUUUAGCCCUUUUCAUGUCGACAUGUUUUCAAUCUGCUAGAUUUGGCCAAAUCAUCAAAUCAUUGUUCCUUUCUGCCUCCAAGGAAGCACGUCUUAAAAAAUAUUCAACAAUAACCUUGAUUUUUGGUGCUGUCAAAGUCCUAAUCUAACUCUUGCAUGAGUUUUUGGCUUUAUAUAUUUAUUAUGUAACAUUUCCUUCUAGUGCCGACUGGUAUUCAGGAAAGCUCGGGCUAGUUCCUUUAAAGAGGUCUUAUAUUUAUCUUGUUCGGUCUUAUUCAGAUCGUGGAUUUGAAUCCAAGUAAUGUGCAGUUCAGUUCUCCAAUUUUAAAUUGGUCUGAAUUCCUAGGUGACGCUUAAAAGCCUUCCAUAUAAGCAAAUAAGCAGUCCUGCACUGGUACUCUUGUACACUUUGUUGUUCUGCUGAAUACUCAAGUAAUCUGUUUUAUGGUUGCAAUUAGUCAAGCAUAUCUUUACUGUUUACAGGUUAAACACACUAUUUGGUAAUACCCAACUUGAAUUUUAAGAAGGAAUAAUAUACGAGGAGUUGAUGUAUGCUCUUUUAUAUGCUACAAAGAUACAUUACGCCUUCCCUCCUUUGUUUGGAUUUGGAGGUAGAUGGGGAUGGAGGGGAAGGAAACAAAUAGGGGGGUAGAUAAGUUCAUGGAUAGAUGAGUGCUUGUUAUUACUGCCCCAAGCGGUUGUAGCUAUGCACUAAUUAGUUUACUGAUUUCUGCAGUACUCAAUGGAGCAAAGUAUCAGCAUUGUCACUCCAUUACUUUAUUAUUUCUCAAUUUCUUUGCUGUGACAAUGUCAGCCGCUGACUAUGUUUAUCUUUUUGAUAAUCAGGCCAUGCUUGCUUUAAUUGCUGUGACUUUUGGUGUGACAAAGGCAACUCAUUCCUGGUGAGGCUAUCCAGGCUGCAAAAUGUAACUUAUAGUGGAUCUCGGGGGGGGGGGGGCAGCAACUUUAUUGAUUGGUUUUUGUUUGUAAGGAUGUCUCUUUUUUUCAAUCUGUAUAGCAAAUAUUGACUUGGGUGGUUCUUAUAUUGAACGUACACUUCCUUUAUUAAUGUUUGUGGUACUUCUUGGUAUGCUCCAGCAGUAAAUGUGAUGUGUAUUUUUGAAACUUCCCCAACAGAAACUAAAUUGGAUGUGUGUUCAGUCUGUAGAAUUUGGCUGCUCCAUUCGGAAGACAUUACAAUUUCAAACACUGUUGGGGGUUUGACUUAUUGAAUAUAUACAUAUAUACGUACUAGUAUUUAUGAACGUGCGUUGCACGUUAAUAAUGGCACGUGAUGAUUUAAAUAUUUAUUUAUAUGAAGGAAUAAUAAAAUUUAAUUAAUAAGAGAAAUUUUAUGUAUAAUAAUACAACAAUCAUCUAAAUGCCGAA
rnacentral:lncRNA from 1 species